rnacentral:rRNA from 1 species
AAAAGUGAAAGACGGUCUUGCUGUCACUUAUAGAUGGAUCCGCGCUGCAUUAGCUAGUUGGUAAGGUAACGGCUUACCAAGGCAACGAUGCAUAGCCGACCUGAGAGGGUGAUCGGCCACACUGGAACUGAGACACGGUCCAGACUCCUACGGGAGGCAGCAGUAGGGAAUCUUCCGCAAUGGGCGAAAGCCUGACGGAGCAACGCCGCGUGAGUGAUGAAGGUCUUCGGAUCGUAAAACUCUGUUAUUAGGGAAGAACAUAUGUGUAAGUAACUGUGCACAUCUUGACGGUACCUAAUCAGAAAGCCACGGCUAACUACGUGCCAGCAGCCGCGGUAAUACGUAGGUGGCAAGCGUUAUCCGGAAUUAUUGGGCGUAAAGCGCGCGUAGGCGGUUUUUUAAGUCUGAUGUGAAAGCCCACGGCUCAACCGUGGAGGGUCAUUGGAAACUGGAAAACUUGAGUGCAGAAGAGGAAAGUGGAAUUCCAUGUGUAGCGGUGAAAUGCGCAGAGAUAUGGAGGAACACCAGUGGCGAAGGCGACUUUCUGGUCUGUAACUGACGCUGAUGUGCGAAAGCGUGGGGAUCAAACAGGAUUAGAUACCCUGGUAGUCCACGCCGUAAACGAUGAGUGC